rnacentral:rRNA from 1 species
UACGUAGGGUGCGAGCGUUGUCCGGAAUUAUUGGGCGUAAAGAGCUCGUAGGCGGUUUGUCGCGUCGGCCGUGAAAUCUCCACGCUUAACGUGGAGCGUGCGGUCGAUACGGGCAGACUUGAGUUCGGCAGGGGAGACUGGAAUUCCUGGUGUAGCGGUGAAAUGCGCAGAUAUCAGGAGGAACACCGGUGGCGAAGGCGGGUCUCUGGGCAACAACUGACGCUGAGGAGCGAAAGCGUGGGGAGCGAACAGG